ACCCAGACUCCUACGGGAGGCAGCAGUGGGGAAUAUUGCACAAUGGGGGAAACCCUGAUGCAGCGACGCCGCGUGAGCGAUGAAGUAUUUCGGUAUGUAAAGCUCUAUCAGCAGGGAAGAAAAUGACGGUACCUGAAGAAGAAGCCCCGGCUAACUACGUGCCAGCAGCCGCGGUAAUACGUAGGGGGCAAGCGUUAUCCGGAUUUACUGGGUGUAAAGGGGGCGCAGACGGCGAUGCAAGCCAGGAGUGAAAGCCCGGGGCCCAACCCCGGGACUGCUCUUGGAACUGCGUGGCUGGAGUGCAGGAGGGGCAGGCGGAAUUCCUGGUGUAGCGGUGAAAUGCGUAGAUAUUAGGAGGAACACCAGUGGCGAAGGCGGCCUGCUGGACGGUGUACUGACGCUGAGGCUCGAAAGCGUGGGGAGCAAACAGGAUUAGAUACCCGCGUAC
rnacentral:rRNA from 1 species